ensembl:lncRNA
AUGGCUUCCAAGAAAAGAAUCAAUUCCCAUCCAAGCAUUAAAGCCGCCCUUAAAAUGAAGUGGGUGAAUUCCAGUGAUGUACUGGGACAGAUGUAUAAUAAGACAGAAGUUCAAGAAAAUCUCGUCAUGUGCCUUCUAUCUUCCUUGGGCUGGAAAACAGCUUGGUGUCUGAGUGCCUCGAGUGAAGUCAGCCCUCAUCAGCAACAAUCAAGUAAGGAGCAGCCAAUACCGCGUGACCUGGCCGGCAGGAAACCAUGUGACACAGCAGUCCAGACCACCAGACCAAAGACGUGCUUCAGACUUAUAGAAGAACUCCCUACAAUGUACAGUCAUAAAACUGUAUGCUGUAAUCAUAUAUUUUUAAUAAUUUCCUAGCUUUGUUUUGACUGAGGUGUAGGAAAACUAACUAAAUGGCAACAUUCAGCAUCACAAUUAAGCACUUAGUAUACAGUAUGCACCAUUAUUUGUAGGCUCAUAAACAGACAAUCAACGCAUUCAUGAAGUUUUCAUAUUAAGUGUACAUGACUAGUAAAGAAGUCACACAUGAUUGAUAGACAUCCCUGUUAUCUCUUUGAGUGACACACCAUAAUGGUUGGCCUCAUAUGGCUCUCAGAGCUGUAUCAAAGGCUUGAUUUUGGGAUACUUUCUUCAGGUACUACACAGUAAGGAAAAUCUUGUCCUUUUCAUCUAUGGCAAAGUUACAGUGAUACCACGUUUGAUGUCUGAGCCAAGAACUCUCAGCUAAAGCACUGCUGCACUUUGAAGUUCCUUGUUGUGCAGGCACAGUUGAGAAUUCAUUUAAUGUUCUGAUAGUGUGUCACAUGAUGGGUCUAAGCAUGAAAGCUGAAGCUCUGUAAGGGUUGGGAAUAAAGAUUUCUUUUUUAAACCCCUGGCUCCUCGCUAUGCGCCACCAUAUGCUCUCUGAUGCUUUAUCCUGCCCCGUGCUCACGGCUGCCGCUAGCUAUCUCUUACAGACAUGGAGCAUAAAAAGAGCACGCACCACAUUAGGUAGACUGGAAUAAAGAAAGAGAGAUCGUGCUGUGAUCCACUUUGGUUGGUAAAGCCCCAGAGCAAGCAUAGUGGUUAUAUGAACAGCAGCAGACAUGAUACACACACCACAAACACACAUAUAAACACACACACACACACACACACACACACACACACACACACACACACACACACACACACCUGUGCUCACACACACGCAAAGUUACACUGGGAGAGUGGGAGCUGCAAUGGAAACUCUGAGUCAUGAGCACUCCUUUGCCAUUCUGAACCUAAAUCAUUGUGGCAUUGAGUCACUACAGGGCUUCCUGUGUGUUCAUUUGCGUGUCUGCAUGUGUGAGCGUGGACGAGCUCAAUCUAUAAGCCGGGGCUGUAUAUUUAAAGCUCUGUGCGGUUCCCUUUUGUAUGCAUGUACAGUCUCAUCUUAUUUGCAGUGUUUCUCUUCACAUGCAGAUUGUGCUAGGGGAUUGUACUGACACAUACAAUAUAUAUGAUAUAUGUAUACGUGUUCCCAGCGUGUGUGCACAUUUACAUUAAAAUCAGCCACGAGAGGAAACCCCUUUUAUGAGAGCUGUGGAAACUGUAAACACUGUAUCACUGUGCCGCUGAGGCACUUGUGUUGCAAUGAUUUUGUGAAGAGAAGACCAGAGAAGGGAAGAGAAGCCCAAAUACAUAUCUGGUAGGCAGCUUCUCUUACAGAUCAAGGGUGUAGGCAAGGCUGCCACAAAUAGUAGCACAGAGGGGGAUUUUUAUUUCUCUCUUAUUACUGUCUUACACAUCUUUCUCGUGCUCACCUUUCAAGCCUCAAAUCAAGCUUCCCUGCAUCCUACAGCACAGUUCAGUCUCCAAGCUUCAGUACAUUUUGAUAGCACAUAACAUGGUUGACAUGUCAACACAACCCUGGUCAGCAAUCACACAAUUUCCAUAGAGAUAAUGAGGGCUUUUAACAUUCCUGUUGCACUAGUAAGAUUGUGAAAAGUACAUGCAGGCAAACACACACACAUACACACGCACAGUUAAAGAGAUAUGUAGAGGGCAUAAUGACCUGCAGCAGGACUGAGAUGUGUUUGUGGUUGCAGUGGCUUGAUAAGCAGGAUGGCUACAUGAAAAUUAAUGUGAUAAGGCGUUGUACAUUGUGCUGCUGUUUGCUAGCCGUGAUCCACUUCGAUCCGAUGCUAUCAUGCAAGACUUGGCAGUCGGCUAGCAGUCAGGGUAACGUGCUCGCCACAGAAUUUAAAGAUAGCAUUUAUAGACCAGUCACCACCCAGAUAUAUUGCAGCUCAUGGAGAUGAGAAACAAGCUGUUGGAUUCUGCUGAAGGAAUGGAAAUUCUGGACCAAAACAGUGUUGUGGAGUUCACAUUGUGGCCAUUCUCAGUCAUUUUAAGCAAUCAUAGAAGAUUGUGUGGACACCAAACAUCCUUCUGAGACCACAGUAAAAAUAUCUUAGCCAUGACAAUUGCCAGUUGUUGAUCAGAAGUCAUCUUAGUCUGAGCUGGGCCCCGAGCUGAUUCGAAAAUCUGUAGGAGUAACUGUGAGACAGGAAGGUGGGAGGCUUUGAAACUGAAACCAGCCCAAAUGGAAUCAGAUGCAUGUUAAGCCAACCGCCAUCAGCCCACUUCUGACUGCCUAAAAGCUUCUGACCUUUGAGCAUUAGAUGGAUAUGGAAAUAGUUGCUUAACAGGUUUUGAACACACACGACCUGCAUGAGUAUGCACAUGAAUACAUGCACAGGUUCUUGGCUCUGGUGACUGUGUAACACUCAGAAAAAUAUCUACACAAAUGUGUUGCAAUUCAAAGGCACAUACCAGCACUAAUGUAGUUUCAAGUGUAGUGCAUGUUGGACCUUAUUAUUUGCUUUCAAAAAGGCAUGAUCCACCAGAGAGAGCAGGUAGCAACUGAGCAUUUUGACUCUCCUCCACUUCAGGCAGGCAGACCAAGAGGAAUGAAGCGCCUGCCUGCCUCAGAUGACUCAUCCCCAUUGAUGAGCUUAACAGCCAUCAAUUCCACUCUAGGGAGCGGGGCCCAGCACUCUCCCCCACCCGCUGCACUUCUGCCUGGGCUAGGCUUCCUCUACACUCCCCCCUCUCCCAGCAGAAGGCCUGGAGCUUAAAUUAGAGCUCUGGCAGUGGGCCAUGUGAGAGAAGAGCAGUGAGCAGACAGCAGCCAUUCAUUCCUCUGUAAGCCUGAGUCACAUUCAUUGUAACACAGAGACAGGGCUGGGGGCUGGCUUAGAAUGGGCCUGUUAGUUUUUCCACAGUGGAGCCGAGCUAGUCUUCUUCUGCAAAAACGUUCCAUCACAGUUUGAGAAAAAAACUGCUGUCAAAAUGCAACUCAGCACUAAUAACAGAUUAGCUGAUGAGCUUUUGUAUGAAAUGUGUUGCUGUUCCACAUGAUGUUAGUGCUGUAUCUUUGUCACCCAUGAAGAAAUAAGUGCUUUGUAUCUUUCCUUUGAGACAUUGA